rnacentral:lncRNA from 1 species
UACAAUCCCAUAAUUUUUUAUGAAGACCAAAUAAGAGAAGAUUAGUCACGUGCUGUUAAAUAUUGUUGCUAGAAGUUGUACUCUUGAGCAAAUUUAGAGAUAAUAGUAACAACAAAGAGCAUAGAAAAUAUAACUGGUUCAAAUAUGCCUAUAUUUCCUUAUAUUGAUUAAGAAUUGGGGUCCAGUUGUAAUUAUAAGUCCUUUUCUGAUGUUAUAUGGUUUUUAGUGCAAAGAAUCAUAUUAAAGAGAACCUAAACAGAUGAUUUAAUAGAGACAUAUUUGAGCUCAGCUCUCAGGGGACUUAGGUGUAAGUGGCUUUAUAAAAAUAAUAGAGUCAGAUACCAAGGAUAACUGUAAAAAUUCCAAAGUCACAGAACACAAAGCACCUACUAGGAAACUCAAAGGAAGACAAAACAAAACAAAGUCAGUGCACUGUUUUUAUAAUCAGUAUACCAUCUGGUAUUUUAUAAUCACAAUGUGAUUUUCAGCGCAUGGAAGUAUAUUAAGUUCUUUAGCCUUCCUGCUCUUGAUUAAAUAGUAAACUUUGAAAUAUAUUAAUAUCAUAAAACCAGAAAAUAAGAGGAAGUGAAAUGGUAAUGUCAAAACUUAUUGAGUUAAUUAUUUUCCUUUUUCGGAGGGAAAAAUCAAUUUUUCUACCCCUGCCCCUUGCCCCCAAUACACACACACAUUUUUUUUUUAAGCAAUGGGAUAAUUUACAAGGACAAUUUUAUCUUAAGAGAGUGACUCAUAUCUGCAAUGAGACUUAUUUUCAUAGAAUAAGCCUAUGACCUAAGACCAUACCUAAGACCAUUGGAGAAAAUGUUUUAAACAAAACACGCUAUAUGAAUUUGCAAAAUGUACAGAACAUUUAUGUACCUAUCAAUCUAGAUCAUUCCAGGAGGGUUAUGUAAACACUAUCCCAUGCCACAAAUCAAAUUUGGAGAGGGAAAAUGAGUGCUGCAUUAGCUAUCUAGAGUUAAAAAGUAUCACAUAAUAAUUUACAUAUUACAUGCAGUAAAAUGUGUGCAUGGCCACAUGCCUAUGCUCUUUUCCUUAAGGUCAUUAGCUGUAAUGCAAAGGAUAAAAAUAAGCAUUAUAGGAGCAAAGACAU